rnacentral:rRNA from 1 species
UACGUAGGGUGCAAGCGUUGUCCGGAAUUAUUGGGCGUAAAGAGCUCGUAGGCGGUCUGUCGCGUCGAAUGUGAAAACCCGGGGCUCAACCCCGGGCCUGCACUCGAUACGGGCAGACUAGAGUUCGGUAGGGGAGUCUGGAAUUCCUGGUGUAGCGGUGAAAUGCGCAGAUAUCAGGAGGAACACCGGUGGCGCAAGCGGGACUCUGGGCCGAUACUGACGCUGAGACGCGAAAGCGUGGGGAGCAAACAGG